rnacentral:rRNA from 1 species
GACGAACGCUGGCGGCGUGCUUAACACAUGCAAGUCGAACGGAAAGGCCUGCUUUCCCUUGUGGAUUGCGGGUACUCGAGUGGCGAACGGGUGAGUAACACGUGAGUGAUCUGCCCCCAACUUGGGUAUAAGCCUGGGAAACUGGGUCUAAUUCCCGAUAGGACUGCAGGGUGGUGCCUGUGGUGGAAAACGAUUUUCUAGUGGUUGGGGAUGAGCUCGCGGCCUAUCAGUUUGUUGGUGGGGUAAUGGCCUACCAAUGCGGGGACGGGUAGCCGGCCUGGGGGGGUGGACGGCCGCAUUGGGACGGAGAUACGGCCCCGACUCCUACGGGAGGCAGCAGUGGGGAAGAAGGCACAAUGAGCGGAAGCCUGAUGCAGCGACGCCGCGUGGGGGAUGACGGCCUUCGGGUUGUAAACUCCUUUCGACCGCGAGGAAGCCACCUGGUUGGAAGGGUGGUGACGGUAGUGGUAGAAGAAGCACCGGCUAACUACGUG